UCGAUAGGCAAUGGGUUGGCAGUAUGGCGAGAGUGUUAGAACCGUGUAUGCGUUAUACUAGUGCGCGGGCCAGAUAACGACGGCAGCGGCGGCGGCGGCGGCGGUCGAUCAUCAUCAUAUUAUUAGUAUACGUCAGUGUUGCGAUCAACAGGAAAUAACAAUUAUUAUAAUAUAAUAUCAUCACUAUUACUAUUAUUAUUAUUAUUAUUUGUAUUUGUAUUAUUAUUAUUACUAUUAUUAUUAUUAUUACAAACUAAAACCGCGUGAUAACACCGUGUGCAAUAUAAAAUACUGUUCACGGCAUAUUAUAUAUAUUAUAGCGGUUAGAUGGCCGUCAGUCGCAGUGCUUAAUCGUAUUAUAUAUGUGUGUGUGGUCAUAAACGCGUAAACACCAAACCGCCACAGACGUUAUUUACCAAAAUCCCACACCAUAAAAUAUUAUAAUGCACUAAGAUAUUAUAAUUAUUAUUUGUAUUGUCAUCGUCGUCGUCGUCAAGUACACUAGAGCCAAAGAAAACGAGAAAACACGAGAUCCUGAGGAAGUUUUUGUGGAUGGAAUAAAUCCAGACCACAAACAACGUCUGGGAUAACUGCGCCACAGAACACUAUUUAGUACAAAUAAACGAUUAUUCGCAAUCGGCAUUUGA